UGACUUUUUAAGCUAGUCCAGAGAGGCUAUCAAGAGGAAAACUUAAGGGUCUUGUUAGGCGAUAAUAAGACGCUCAUAAGUCAACCACCUGAUAGCGAGGACUAUUAGGUGGUUUUUUCUU
rfam:Abiotrophia defectiva ATCC 49176 genomic scaffold Scfld0, whole genome shotgun sequence.